AUUGAACGCUGGCGGCAGGCCUAACACAUGCAAGUCGAACGGUAACAGGAAACAGCUUGCUGUUUCGCUGACGAGUGGCGGACGGGUGAGUAAUGUCUGGGAAACUGCCUGAUGGAGGGGGAUAACUACUGGAAACGGUAGCUAAUACCGCAUAACGUCGCAAGACCAAAGAGGGGGACCUUCGGGCCUCUUGCCAUCGGAUGUGCCCAGAUGGGAUUAGCUAGUAGGUGGGGUAACGGCUCACCUAGGCGACGAUCCCUAGCUGGUCUGAGAGGAUGACCAGCCACACUGGAACUGAGACACGGUCCAGACUCCUACGGGAGGCAGCAGUGGGGAAUAUUGCACAAUGGGCGCAAGCCUGAUGCAGCCAUGCCGCGUGUAUGAAGAAGGCCUUCGGGUUGUAAAGUACUUUCAGCGGGGAGGAAGGGAGUAAAGUUAAUACCUUUGCUCAUUGACGUUACCCGCAGAAGAAGCACCGGCUAACUCCGUGCCAGCAGCCGCGGUAAUACGGAGGGUGCAAGCGUUAAUCGGAAUUACUGGGCGUAAAGCGCACGCAGGCGGUUUGUUAAGUCAGAUGUGAAAUCCCCGGGCUCAACCUGGGAACUGCAUCUGAUACUGGCAAGCUUGAGUCUCGUAGAGGGGGGUAGAAUUCCAGGUGUAGCGGUGAAAUGCGUAGAGAUCUGGAGGAAUACCGGUGGCGAAGGCGGCCCCCUGGACGAAGACUGACGCUCAGGUGCGAAAGCGUGGGGGAGCAAACAGGAUUAGAUACCCUGGUAGUCCACGCCGUAAACGAUGUCGACUUGGAGGUUGUGCCCUUGAGGCGUGGCUUCCGGAGCUAACGCGUUAAGUCGACCGCCUGGGGAGUACGGCCGCAAGGUUAAAACUCAAAUGAAUUGACGGGGGCCCGCACAAGCGGUGGAGCAUGUGGUUUAAUUCGAUGCAACGCGAAGAACCUUACCUGGUCUUGACAUCCACGGAAGUUUUCAGAGAUGAGAAUGUGCCUUCGGGAACCGUGAGACAGGUGCUGCAUGGCUGUCGUCAGCUCGUGUUGUGAAAUGUUGGGUUAAGUCCCGCAACGAGCGCAACCCUUAUCCUUUGUUGCCAGCGGUCCGGCCGGGAACUCAAAGGAGACUGCCAGUGAUAAACUGGAGGAAGGUGGGGAUGACGUCAAGUCAUCAUGGCCCUUACGACCAGGGCUACACACGUGCUACAAUGGCGCAUACAAAGAGAAGCGACCUCGCGAGAGCAAGCGGACCUCAUAAAGUGCGUCGUAGUCCGGAUUGGAGUCUGCAACUCGACUCCAUGAAGUCGGAAUCGCUAGUAAUCGUGGAUCAGAAUGCCACGGUGAAUACGUUCCCGGGCCUUGUACACACCGCCCGUCACACCAUGGGAGUGGGUUGCAAAAGAAGUAGGUAGCUUAACCUUCGGGAGGGCGCUUACCACUUUGUGAU
rnacentral:rRNA from 1 species